rnacentral:tRNA from 2 species
GCCCGCCUAGCUCAAUCGGAUAGAGCGUCAGACUUUUAAUCUGAAGGCUGCGGGUUCGACCCCCGCGGUGGGCU